rnacentral:rRNA from 1 species
AACGAACGCUGGCGGCAGGCCUAACACAUGCAAGUCGAGCGAGACCUUCGGGUAUAGCGGCGGACGGGUGAGUAACGCGUGGGAACGUGCCCUUUUCUACGGAAUAGCCUCGGGAAACUGAGCGUAAUACCGUAUACGCCCUUUGGGGGAAAGAUUGAUCGGAGAAGGAUCGGCCCGCGUUGGAUUAGGUAGUUGGUGGGGUAAUGGCCUACCAAGCCUACGAUCCAUAGCUGGUUUGAGAGGAUGAUCAGCCACACUGGGACUGAGACACGGCCCAGACUCCUACGGGAGGCAGCAGUGGGGAAUCUUAGACAAUGGGGGCAACCCUGAUCUAGCCAUGCCGCGUGAGUGAUGAAGGCCUUAGGGUUGUAAAGCUCUUUCAGCUGGGAAGAUAAUGACGGUACCAGCAGAAGAAGCCCCGGCUAACUCCGUG